rnacentral:lncRNA from 1 species
AGAGUUUUAGUUGCCUGUCUCUGCUAUUCUGCGUCCUCCACCUCGGGAGCCCCAGGAGGGGAUUGUAGCAUAUUCCUAAUGGAGCACCAAGGUGAUGUGACACUGCUGCCUGGUCCCUGCCCUCAGAGAAGAUUGUGACAUAUCACUGCCCCGAAACCCAGGUGUGAUUGUUACAUACACCUCUGCCCAGCACCUGAGUGAUUUGACUCUUCUGCUUGGGCCCAGCGUACAGAUGGGAUUGUGCCGCAUUGCUGGACCCAGCACUUAGGUGAUGGACCUUGUGACAUAUAUCUGCACCCAUGACCUAGAAGAUGUGACAUUUAUUUUUUGCCUGCACCCUGCCCUGCACAGGAAUGAUUGUGACAUAUCCUUGGAACCAGACACCAGGUGAUGUGGCUCUUCUGCCUCUGUCUUGCCCACAGGGAGCAUUGUAACAUAGCGCUGAGCUCAGCACCCAGGUGAUGUGACUCUGUUGCCUGUGCUGUGCUUUCAGGACAGAAUUGUAACAUAUCCCUGGCUGAGCACUCAGGUGAUGUGACACUCCUGCUUGGCUUCUUCCCUCAGCAGAUUAUGAGAUAUCCAUGGCUGAAAUCCAGGCACCUGAGUGAUCUGACUGUCUUGUCUGGGACCAGCCCACAGGUGGGAUAGUUCUGCUGAACCCAGAACUGAGGGGAUGUGACUCUUCUUCUGUCUUGGUGCUGCUCGUAGAGGACAUUGUGACAUCUCACUGAACCUUGCACUUAGUUGAUGGGGAAUUGUGACAUAUCACUUGGCCCAGUACCAAGCAAGUGUGACUGUUCUAUUCAUCAUAAGUCCUGCUUUCAAGGGAGAUUGGGACAUAUUGUGGGGCUCAACACCAAUGUGACAUUACUGUUUUGCCUUGGCCCAGACCUUAAAGGCACUGUGACGUAUUGCUCGGCUCAGCAACAAGGUGACGAGAGAUCCUGUGUGGACAUUGACAACAGAGAGCAUUGUGACAUAUCUUUGGGAGCAUCAGCUAUUUGAUGUGACUCUCCUUUUAUACCAAGGCUUUGCUCAUAGGGGAGACCGUGAUGUAUCUUCUGGCCCAGAAAUCAGGCGAUGUGUUUCUCCUGCCUGAGCUUUGCUCACAGGGAGCAUUGUGACAUAUCACUGAGCCCAGCACCCAGGUGAUGGGACUCUACUGCCUGUCCCCUGCUUUCAGGAGGAAAUUGUAACAUAUCUCUGACCAAGCACCCAGGUGAUAAGUCUUCUGCCUGGUGCCUGUUCUCAGGGAAGAUUGUGACAUAUCCCUGGCCCAGCAACCAGAUGAUGCAGAUGACGUAUCUCUCCUGCUCACUCUCUAUCCACAGGUUCUGCCCACAAAGGAGAUUGUGGCAUACUGCUGGGCCUAACACUAAGGUGAUGUUACUUCUCUGCUUUGGCUAUGUCCUUAGAAGGCAUUGAGACACACUGCUGGGCCCAGCACCAAGAUGAUGUGAGUCCUCUGCCUGAACCCUGACCACAGGGAGCAUUGUGACAUAUUUCUUGACCCACUGCAAUCUCUCCUAUGGACAAAGCCCAGGUAAAUGCCCUAUUUUACCUAUGUGAUGUGACACUCCUCUUCUGCCUGGGCCAAGCACACCAGUGAUGUAAUUAUUCUGCCUGUUCCCUGCACACAGGAGUCACUGUGCUAUAUAUUUGGGCCCAUCACCUAGAUGAUAUGACUCUCCUCUUCCAGGGUUUGUCCUCAGUGAGAAUUGUGAUAUAUCGCUUGACGUAGCUUCUAUGUGAUGUGGCUCUUCUCUCAUGCCUGGUCCCUUCCCUCUGGGGUGAUUGGAACAUAAAGCUGAUCCCCACAGCUACGUAAUGUGACUUUCCUGUUUAUAAGCCCUACCCACAGGGGGCAUUGUGACAUAUCUAGGCCUCUCACCUAGGUAAUAUGACAUUUAUGCCUAGGGGGUAUUGUGAAAUAUUACUGGACCAAGAACUUAGGGGCCCACAGGAGGCCUUUGUUACAUAUCUGUGCAUCCAUUACUUUGGAGGUGUGACUCUCUUCCAUCUGCACCAUGCCCAUACAGAAAAUUGUGACACAUCUCUGGGUUCAGCAACCAGGUGGUAUAUCUUUUGUGCCCAGGCCUUGCCUGCAGAGAGACAUAGCUGGGCCCACUACCCAAGUGAUGUGACUUUGAUGACUGUGCCUUGCUUUCAGGAGGGAAUUUUAGGGCAACAGAACCCUGGCCAGGCAACCAGGCGAUAUGCCUGGUUUCUUCCCUGGAAAAAUUGUGAUAUAUUCCUGACCCAGCACCCAGGCGAUGUUAUUCUCUCAUUUGCUUUCUACUCACAGGUUGGAUUGUGACAUAUACUUUAGCCCAGCUCACAGUUGUGAUAAUGACACUCAUACUGACAAAUCAGUCAGUAGGAGAGAUACUGGCACUUGUAGCUAAACUUAGAGAAACAGGUAAAUUAUUGGGGUCUUCUCUAGGUAAGAACAUUAUAAAGCAUAACCAUUCUUUCACAGUUUGUAUAAAGUCUUUGGAUGGUACAGAGUGUCAUCACAGGGUCAAGCACACAGGUGAGACUGUGUUUCUCAUAUGAACAACCUACCAAAUGUUGGCAAACCUACCAACACCCUCACACAUGGACAGAGCUCACUGGAAAGAUCCUGAAUUUCACACGUGGAUGCAGUCCACAGUAAAAAUUGUGACUGUCAUAUGUGAUCAUGUGACCACAGUCAAGAUGUUGACUCAUUUCAAAACAAAGCUCAUAGGCAGAUGAGGACUCUUCUCUCUGGUCCUAGCCAAUUAGAGAGAUGUUGACUCUAACACAUGGGCUUAGGUCCAUAGCUACGAUUAUCAGUUCAUACUAGAACAGAAUUCUCAGAGCAAAUUGUGACUAUCAUGCAUAUUGUAUAAAGCCCUCAGAUGGUAACAGAGAGUUUUGUAACAGGGCCCAGCACACAGGUGACAUUGUGAUACUCAUACACACACUCAGCCAACAGUAAAGAUUGUCAUCUUUUCAUAUGAACACAGUUCAUUGUUGAAGUUCUGAAUCUCACACCUAGAGAUAGCCAAAAGUUGGAAAAUUGACUUUCACACAUGGAUUCAGUCCACAUGUGGGCUGGUGACUCUCAGACCAAGAUUCAGCGUAUCUGUGAGGCUGUGAGUCCACUAAGGGGACACAGUCCACUGCAAAGAUUGAGGCUGUCAUGCAGGUAUCCAGUCCACCAUUGAGAUUGUGACUUGUGUAUUCAGACUCAACAUACAAAAGGUGUUGACUCUAAUACCUAGAAAUGGGACAUGUGUGGAAUUGUUAAUUUUUUUUUUUUUUUUUUUGAGACGGAGUUUCAAUCUUGUUGCCCAGGCUGGAGUGUAAUGGUGCGAUCUCGGUUCACUGCAACCUCUGCCUCCUGGGUUCAAGCGAUUCUCCUACCUCAGCCUCCUGAGUAGCUGGGAUUACAGGUGCCCACCACAAUGCCUGGCUAAUUUUUUGUAUUUUUAGUAGAGAUGGGGUUUCACCAUGUUGGCCAGGCUGGUCUUGAACUCCUGACCUCAUGUGAUCCACCUGCCUGUCUCCCAAAGUGCUGGGAUUACAGGUGUGAGCCACCACACCCAGCAGGAUUGUUAAUUUUAUCCCUACCUUUUCCUUCAACUGUGACUGUAACAUACACCUCUGCCCAGCACCUGAGUGAUUUGACUUUUCUGCUUGGUGCCUAGUCCACAGAUCAGAUUGUGAUACAUUGCUGGACCUAACACUAGGUGGUGCGACUCUGUACUUUUGCCUUGGCACUGCCCACAUGGGACAUUGUGACAUAUCACUGGGCCCCUCACCCUGGUUAUGUGACUCUCCUACCUGUGCCCUGCCUUCAUGGGUCAUUGUGACAUAUUGCCAUUUGCAACAUCCAGGUUAUGUAACUCUCCUUGCUGGGUCCUGCCUACAGGAAGCUUUAUGAUCUAUCUGUGUAUUCAUCAUCCAGGUAACGUGACUCUUUCUCCCAGGUCCCUGUUCAAAGAAAGGAUUGUUACUUAUCAAUGGGCCCAGUGCCUUAGCUGAUAUGACUCUUCUACCUAUAUUCUGCUUACAGUGUACAUUGUGACAUACUGCUGGGCUGAACACCAAGGUGAUGUUACAUUUUUGCCUUGGCGUUUCUUUUCAUCAAGCAUUGUGACAUAUUGUUGGGCUCAGAACCAAGGUGAUGUGAUCCUUCUGCCUGAACCUUGCUCAAGAGUCAACACCUUUUGCCCAACAAGAAUAGUGACAUAUUUGUGAAUCCAUCGUCUAUGUGAUGUGACUCUCUUACUUGGAUUUUUCCUAUAGGAGAGAUUGUGACAUAUCACAGGGCCCAGCAUCUAGAUAAUGUGACGCUUCUUUCCUUCCAUGGCCAUGCUCCCAUAAAAGAGAGUGACUUAUCCCUGGGAUCAGCCCACAGGCUAUGUAAUUGUUCUGCCUAGUCCCUGUCUACAGGGGUUAUUGUGACAUAUCUCUUGGUCCCGUUCUUCUUCUCCCUGGGACUUGUCCACAGUGGGAAUUGUGACAUAUCACUUGGCCCAGCACCUAUGUGAUGUGACUCUUUUCUCAUGCUUUGGCCCUGCCCACUGGUUGGUUGUGAUAUGUAGUUGGGCCCAGCUCUUAAGUCAGGUGAUCUUUCUCUUCCUCCUGAGCCCUACUCUCCCAAGACCAGCUAGGUCAUGGAGACCCUAACCCAGCGGAGCUAGAGGAAUUAAAGACACACACACAUAGAAAUAUAGCAUGUGGAGUGGGAAGUCAGGGGUCUCACAGCCUUCAGAACUGAGAGCCUCAAACAGAGAUUUACCCACAUAUUUAUUGACAGCAAGCCAGUGAUAAGCAUUGUUUCUAUAGAUUACAGAUUAAAAGUAUUUCUUGUGGGAAAUAAAGGGAUGGGCUCUGGCUAGUUAUCUGCAGCAGGAACAUGUCCUUAAGGCACAGAUCUCACAAGCUAUUGUUUGUGGUUUAAGAACGCGUUAAGCAGUUUUCUGCCCUGGGUGGGCCAGAUGUUCCUUGCCCUCAUUCCAGUAAACCAACAACCUUUCAGCAUGGGUGUCAUAGCCAUCAUUAACAAGUCACAGUGCCGCAGAGAUUUUGUUUAUGGCCAGUUUUGGGGCCUGUUUAUGGCCAGAUUUGGGGGCCUGUUCCCAACACUACUCACAGGGGACAUUGUGACAUAUCUCUGGGGCUCUCAUCUAGAUGAUGUGACUUUUCUGCCAGGGCUCUUUUCUCAGAGGAUACUGUGACAUUUCUUGACCUAGAACCUAGGUGAUGUGACUCUCUUCUGCUUGGGCUCUGCCUGAGAUGUGACUUUUUUUUUUCCCCUGGGCUUUGCAUACAUUGUGUAUUCUGAUAUAUGACUGGGUCUAAGACCCAGGUAAUAUGACUCUAACUCAUGGGUUCUGUUCAGAAGGGUAUUAUGACAUAUCAUUUGUUCCUCACUUAGGUGUUAUGACUCUCGUCUUUUCACUGGAACCUGCCAAAAAGGGUGAUUGUGACAUAUCACUGGACCCAGCACCUUGGUGAUGUGACUCUCCUCUCCUCCUUAGGCCCUGCUUACAUUGUGUCUGUUGAAAUACGGCUGGUCCAACACCUAGGUAAUGUGACUCUCCUGCAUAGGCCUUGCUAAUAGGGGAUGUAUGACAUAUGUUUUGUUUAUCACUUAAGUGAUGUUACUCUCCUUUUCUUCCUGAAUCCUGUAAAAGGUGGGGGAUUGUGACCCUAUCACUGGACCCAGCACAUAAGUAAUAUGAGUUUCCUGCAUAGGCUCUGUUCAGAAGGGUAUUAUGACAUAUCUUUUUGUUCAUCACUUUGUGACUUGUCUUUUGACUGGAACCUGCCAAAAAGGGUGAUUGUGACAUAUUGCUGGACCCAGCACCUAGGUGAUGUGGCUCUCCUUUUUUUCUGGGCCUCACAUAUUUUGGGUAUUGUGAUGUAUAGCUGGGCUCAACACCUAGCAGUUGGGGAGCUCCUUUCUUGACCAUUCCCACAAAUGACAUAUCUCUGCUAUGACCGCCUAUGACACAUGACCUAAAUAUGUGACCCUUCUUUUCUGCCUGUACCCUGCUAACAGAGAAGAUUGUGACAAAUUGCUAAGUGCAUUGUAUCUUGUGCUAACCUUCUAUCUCAGCCUGUGACCAAGAAUGCCUAACUGCCGGGGAAUGCAGCCCUGUAGGUCUCAACCUCAAUUUGCCCAGCCACUAUUCAAAAUAGAGUCACUCUGGUUUAAAUGCCUCUGACAUUAAGAUACACUGUAAAAUUAUGAAAAAAGUUGAUUUGAAUUUUAGCAAAUGAGAAAUGAAAUAAUUAGAAUGGGCUAUUCUGAAAGAUAUAGCAUUAGUUAUAUUUGUGUUUGAGUUUUCUAUUAACCUAUAUUUGUUACUUAUGAAUAGAUACCUUGUUUUAUUCUGUCUAAACAGAUACACUAGGUGGGGUGCGGUGGCCAUGCCUGUAAUCCCAGCACUUUGGGAGGCCGAGGGGAGUGGAUCACCUGAGGUCAGGAAUUUGGGACAAGCCUGACCAACAUGGCAAAACCCUGUCUCUACUAAAAAUACAAAAAUCAGCUGACCAUGGUGGCGGGUGCCUGUAAUCCCAGCUACUUCAGAGGCUGAGGCAGGAGAAUUGCUUGAACCCGAGAGGUGGAGGUUGCAGUGAGCCAAGAUCAUGCCACUGCAUUCCACCCUGGGUGACAGAGCGAGACUCUGUCUCAAAAAAUAAGAAAAAAUAAGCGGCCGGGCAUGCUGGCUCACGCCUGUAAUCCCAACACUUUGGGAGGCCGAGGAGGGUGGAUCGCAAGGUCAGGAGUUCAAGACCAGCCUGGCCAAGAUGGUGAAACCCUGUCUCUACUAAAAAUACAAAAAUUAGCCACGUGUGUUGGCAGGUGCCUGUAAUCCCAGCUACUCGGGAGGCUGAGGCAGAGAAUUGCUUGAACCCAGGAGGCAGAGUUUGCAGUGAGCCGAGAUCUCACCAUUGCACUCCAGCCUGGGUGACAGAGGGAGAUUCUGUCUCAAAAAAAAAAAAAGGACAUAAAUUUAAUGUUAAGUGUGGACUCAUAAAGAAUCUAGACAGCCACCAAGCCAUUUGUUUAUUCUUGAUUUCUUAAAGCUUCCAUUAUUAAAAGCUCUGCAUUCCAUUACUCAUCACAGAAAAUAAUCUAAAUUAAAUAUGAAUUAAGUUUGUGUGUGUGUGUGUGUGUGUGUGUGUGUGUGUGUGUGUGUGUGGUGAUUAUUCUAAAUUACUAAACAGAUUAAGGCCAAUUUUUUUAUGUCAAACAUAUAAUUCUGAGAAACAAUCAAUACUUUAUGUACAUUUCUGUUACCUAAUAGGCUAUUUAAGCAUUUAUACAGAAAUUUUAUACAGUUGUCAUUUUUAAUGCAUGUUUUCUGAUAGUAUAAAAGCUUUCUCAUGCAAGAAGGCUGAUGUUAUAAUAGUAGCUAAAAGAAUAUUAGAAAAUAUGUUUUUUUUUCAUGGGACAUUUCUGAAAGGUCUCUAAUGAUCAAGAUACUUAUUUCACUAGACAAGUUGUAAAACUGUUAAAUAAGGUAUUGUUCCUGGACCAAACUGAGAGUUGGGCUGCUAUUUCUCAUGGCCCAAUAACGAGAUGCAGAUGAACUGGGGAGGAAGAGAGUUUUAUUUCUGCAACCAGUUACAGGGAGAAGGCCUGGAAAUUAUCACCAGACCAACUCAAAAUUACAACGUUUUCCAGAGCCUAUAUACCUUCUAAGCUAUAUGUCUACAUGUAAGUGUGCAUUCAUCUAAAGAGAUAAGUGAUUAACUUCUUUUAUUUAAUCUGUAACUAAGGUCUGAGUCUUGAAGACCUUCCCCUGCAGCCUCAGUAAAUUUACUUAAUCUAAAUGGGUCCAGGUGCUGGGGUAAUUACCCUUAUCUUGUCUCCUGCUAAAUCACAGUGGUUUGGUGAAUUCCUUCAGACCUCCAAUAAACCUGUUUGUAGAGGCCUGGGGAAUUUCUUCAGACCCCCAAUAAAACUUGUUUAAUCCUAUAAGGCCCAAGAAAGGCCUAGGCGAAACUCUUGAUGGGCUUUUGUUACAUCCCAGCCUUUGUAUAAGGUCACUGGCUUUUUUUUUUUUUUUAAUUGAGACGGGGUCUCACUCUGUCACCAGGCUGGAGUGCAGCUGUACAAUCUCAGCUCACUGCAAACUCCGCCUCCAGGGUUCAAGCCAUCCUUCUGCCUCAGCCUCCCAAAUAGUUGGGACUACAGGCACAUGCCACCACGCCCAGCUAAUUUUUUUGUAUUUUUAGUAGAGACGGGGUUUCACCAUGUUGGCCAGGAUGGUAUCGAUCUCUUGACCUUGUGAUCCGCCUGCCUCGGCCUCCCAAGGUGCUGGGAUUAUAGGUGUGAGCCACUGCGCCCGGCUGGUCACUGGCUUUUAAUAUUUAACUUAACCACUCAGUCAGUACUGAAACAGUUGUUAGUGAGGUCUGGCCUGCCACAGUAUUACAGGUACAAUAGUAUUGAGCAAAGCUAACUAAAUUGACUGGAUUGCUUUUGUAAUUGCAGAUUGAUGACAAUCAGAUUCACUUAGAGUGGAAAAAGUAUGUUGGCCCUUAUAAAAUAGUCAUUAGAAGGCCUAUGUGCGUAAUAGAACCUCAUGUGUCUUCUGCUACUAAAGUCUAACAUUACUAAAUUCAACAAGGCUUUAAUGCAUUAUGGCAAAGCACAUUUUCACCAGGUGAGGAAAGCCUUUACUAGUCUACUGACUGAGGAGAGUAAAACCCUUUAUAAUCAAGAACCCAGAGAUUGAAUCUGCCUGCCACCUACACUGACGCAAGACUUCAAGACCUUGAACAUUGGAUUGAUAAUCUCACAACUUAGAAGGGCCCCUCCAAACUCUUGAAAUUGUAAACCCAUAGGAGAUUUUAAGGUAAAGCUAACCAGGAAAGUUUGUCCUCAAAAGCAGAUGGCCGUCUCCAUGUAGAUAGCUUUUUUCACAAGAUCAAAAAUCAAGACAUCUCGUUAUCAUGACACUCUUAGUUCACAGUUUGUUUAUGGUUCUACAAACCACAGAAAUUUUAAAAAGUGGUCUCUUGUGUGCACUCAUGGGGGUAUACUUAUAUGUAGAGAAUUUUGCAGCCAACAUUAUGUAUGAGGAAACUUAUUCCUUGAAAGGUAAAAGAAGAAGGGCCAAUGUAGGUGAGAAGUUUUAAUGAAACAUUUGUUUUCUCACAAUAUCAAAAACAGAAUAUUGGUCCACUGCUCUUAACCUAUUUCAUAAGUUAAAAAGAACUUAUUCAGAAUAGGUUAAAGAGCAUUGCCAGGAGGCCAUUACUCUUCUGAAUGGGUAUCACUGUUUAGAGUAAAUGAGGCAAUGGUUACAAAUUUAUCCCUCUCAAUAGGGCUCUAUAGCAGAUUAUACCAUAAAAACUAUGCUUACACAAUAGACUUUAAGUUUUCUCACAAAGUUAUGCUAAAUAUAAUUUCUUUUGAUUACUUACUGGAUAAAUAGAUAUCUGUGCAGUUGCUAAUAGUUGCCCAUGGAGAACUACAGCCGGUAUUACAGAGAUGCAGUUGUAGAUGAUUCAUGAACAGGCUGAUUAGAUGAAAUGAGUAGAUCAUUUAUCUAGCUAACUAUUUGAUCUAUUUAACUUUAAUUGGUUGUUCAUGGGGACCCUGGCUAAAAAGCAUGCUUCAAACUCUUGGUAUUAUCCUCCUGAUAGUCAAAAUGGUAAUCUUCCUACUGCACUGUAUUCUCUCAAAAGAUGUAAACGUUUGAAUGUAGUCAUCUGUAGAAUGUCAAAUGGUCUCUCUUUAACUGGAAUGACAGAAACUCAAAGACAUAUGUGACUAUGAAGACAGCACAACCUAUGAAUGACAUGCUAAGGACAAAAAACAAAAAUAAUGGAAACUGAGAGUGGCACUAAAGCCCCGAGUUUUGGUUACACUGUGACCUAUGUAAGAACUUAACCAAACGGGGAAUUUUUUAAAGAAAACUAUUGGAGGCCAUAAUUCUGGACUGAGCUUAUGCACUAGGUCCAAACAAACCAAACCAAAAUGAGUCACUCAUGCUGGAUGUGACAUAAUUAAACUAAAAAUUUAAGGCAACAGGUAGAUUCUAAAACUGGCCAGGUUUUGUUUUUCUUCUCUAAAUAGCAGAUUUCAACACAAGGAGGUCCCCUGUACUCUAACACUUUAAAAAACAAAUAAAAAUAAUUUCAAAAUAAUAAGCUGAAGUUUUUAUUUCCACUUUACAAACCCACAGUUCUGCUGUUUCACAGUGAGAUUCGAGUCUAAAUAAGUACAUUUUUGAUGGUGACAAAGUGAUAUUAAUGUCUAAAGUUUUGGUCUCAAACUUGAGAAGAUGACAAAAGGGAGAAAUUGUUAAAUUAGUUGUAGCCUAAAGCUUCCCUCUUAUGUUUAAUUUUGGCUAAUAGGAUUUGUUUUUUGUUUUUUGUUUUUUUACAUAGUAAACUUAAUGUUCAAAUGGGACAUAUCUUAAGCUGUAAUAAAUCUGGCUGUUUCUGUACCUCACUUCCAUUUUCUGUAUGUCAUUUUGCUUUUCUGGUUCAUAAAAAUUUUACCAACAUGUGGCUGUGUUGGAGUCUCUCUGAGCCUACUCUGGAUCCAUAGGUUACCCGAUUUGCAAAUCAUGAUUUGCUCAUUUAAACUGUUAAAUUUAAUUUUUCUAAAGUUUUCUUCUUUUACAAAUUUUCAAAUUU